AAAUUUACUAAGGUGCAUAAAAACUUUCCAGGGGACAUGCAUGCAGGGAUAGUUAAGGGAGAUGAUUUCCAAAACCUUAACUUUCCUGGGUGCCCUAAGCUGGCUCUCAUUUCCCAAGUCCAUUUCUCCCAAGUCACAAAGGAAAAUGGAACGAACCACUUGCCCAUGCCAAAUCUCACUGUGGUGCAUAACCCCAAAGUGUAGAAACCUGCAGGGCAUGAAACAAAGAGGGGACAAGUGGAGAAUGCAGACUCACGAGAGGGAGUGUUUUAUGAAGGCAAACUAGGGGAGUGUCGGAAAUAAAUAUUGAAGGCUCAUAGCAAGACUCUGUGCCUUGUCUUUCUUUUGAGAAUUAAAAUUCACGAGAAACACGGUUGUUUGGGGAACACUUAUGUGAACUGAUAAAUGAAAUCAGAUUUUUUCUGAAAGUGGAUUUGAUUUGGCUGAUGAAAUUGCACAAUAAAUGUGGGCUUUAUUAGCUUACAUGAUGGAUACUUUGUGUCGUUUUUUUGAGCUAUAUCUGACUACCUAUUUAUGUGAGCAAGUUUUCUCAGUGCAUACGAUAUAAAAAGAAGAGUAGGAAUCGAUUAUGAAUACUCAACUAUUAAACCAAUAGGCAAUAUCUAUCCAUGGACAUGAGAAAACUGGGAAAAAAGAGAAACUUCUGCAUAUUUUGUUAGACAUGUUUUCCCCAUGGAUUUUGUUUUUACCAUUUAUAUAUUAAAAUUAUUAA
rnacentral:lncRNA from 1 species